rnacentral:rRNA from 1 species
UACGUAGGGACCAAGCGCUGUUCGGAUUUACUGGGCGUAAAGGGCGCGUAGGCGGCGUGGUAAGUCACUUGUGAAAUCUCUGAGCUUAACUCAGAACGGUCAAGUGAUACUGCUGUGCUAGAGUGCGGAAGGGGCAAUCGGAAUUCUUGGUGUAGCGGUGAAAUGCGUAGAUAUCAAGAGGAACACCUGAGGUGAAGACGGGUUGCUGGGCCGACACUGACGCUGAUGCGCGAAAGCCAGGGGAGCAAACGGG